rnacentral:sRNA from 1 species
GCUGAUAACUUCUCAAAUAUUUCAGCAUAGGCUUCUGUGCAUGUAGAUAGAUGUAGUGAAAUAAUGACAUAAGAUGGAAAAAUCUCUUCCGUUUGUCUUGGUGUUUGGUAGUGUGCCAGUAUUUGAAAAAUCCCAAUGUAUCUGAUUCACUGCUGCUGCAGAAUAUUUUCCAAGCUCUGAAUGUAUAUUACAAUUAUUCGGGCCAGGUGAAAUGCCUGAAUAUUUCAGAGACAGCAACUAGCAGUCUGGGAACACUGGGUUGGAGCUAUCAGGCCUGCACAGAAGUAGUCAUGCCCUUUUGUACUAAUGGUGUCGAUGACAUGUUUGAACCUCACUCAUGGAACUUAAAGGAACUUUCUGAUGACUGUUUUCAACAGUGGGGUGUGAGACCAAGGCCCUCCUGGAUCACUACUAUGUAUGGAGGCAAAAACAUUAGUUCACACACAAACAUUGUUUUCAG